rnacentral:rRNA from 1 species
AGUAACGCGUUUGUAACCUACCUCUGUCUGGAGAAUAGCCCGAAGAAAUUCGGAUUAAUGCUCCGUAACACCAUGAUGAGGCAUCUCGUCAUGGUCAAAGCUCCGGCGGUCAGAGAUGGACAUGCGUAACAUUAGCUUGUUGGUGAGGUUACGGCUCACCAAGGCUACGAUGUUUAGGGGGUCUGAGAGGAUGGUCCCCCACACUGGUACUGAGACACGGACCAGACUUCUACGGAAGGCAGCAGUGAGGAAUAUUGGUCAAUGGGCGAAAGCCUGAACCAGCCAUGCCGCGUGAAGGAGGACAGCCCUACGGGUUGUAAACUUCUUUUGUACGGGAAGAAACACUUCUACGUGUAGAAGCUUGACGGUACCGUACGAAUAAGCAUCGGCUAACUCCGUGCCAGCAGCCGCGGUAAUACGGAGGAUGCAAGCGUUAUCCGGAUUCAUUGGGUUUAAAGGGUACGUAGGCGGAAGAUUAAGUCAGUGGUGAAAUCCUGCAGCUUAACUGUAGAACUGUCAUUGAUACUGAUCUUCUUGAAUAUAGUUGAGGUAGGCGGAAUGUGUAAUGUAGCGGUGAAAUGCUUAGAUAUUACACAGAACACCGAUUGCGAAGGCAGCUUACUAAACUAUGAUUGACGCUGAGGUACGAAAGCGUGGGGAGCGAACAGGAUUAGAUACCCUGGUAGUCCACGCUGUAAACGAUGAUCACUCGUUGUUGGCGAUAUAGUGUCAGCGACUGAGCGAAAGCAUUAAGUGAUCCACCUGGGGAGUACGAUCGCAAGAUUGAAACUCAAAGGAAUUGACGGGGGCCCGCACAAGCGGAGGAACAUGUGGUUUAAUUCGAUGAUACGCGAGGAACCUUACCUGGGCUUAAAUGUAGAACGACGGAUCGGGAAACUGAUCCUCCUUCGGACGGUCUGCAAGGUGCUGCAUGGCUGUCGUCAGCUCGUGCCGUGAGGUGUCGGGUUAAGUCCCAUAUCGA